rnacentral:rRNA from 1 species
AUGAUUGCUGAAUUUGAUCCAAUAAUGCAAGAACAUCUUAGACGAAUUCAAAAUGAUGAAAUUUAUCAUCACUAUCUCAGCCACAAAAUCCAGAAUGAGUUGAUUUCUCUAUUGGCCUCUAGUGUUACUAGUUCUAUCUUACAAAUUAUUAAAGAGGCUAAAUAUUUCUCCAUAAUUCUUGAUUGUACUCCAGAUGUUAGCCAUCAAGAACAAAUGACCCUAAUUAUUCGAUGUGUUAACAUGUCAAAUAAGAAAAUAAAAAUAGAAGAAUUCUUUAUGGAAUUUUUGACGGUGGAUGACACUUCUGGUUUGGGUCUUUUUAAUGUACUUCUUGAUGCAAUAGAGUCUUAUGGCUUAAAUAUUGAUAAUGUAAGGGGCCAAGGGUACGAUAAUGGUUCCAACAUGAAAGGAAAUAAACAAGGGGUA